UACGAAGGGAGCUAGCGUUGUUCGGAAUUACUGGGCGUAAAGCGCGUGUAGGCGGCAGGGCAAGUCGGAUGUGAAAGCCCACGGCUCAACCGUGGAAGUGCACCCGAAACUGCCUCGCUAGAGUCUCGGAGAGGAAGGUGGAAUGCUUGGUGUAGAGGUGAAAUUCGUAGAUAUCAAGCGGAACACCGGUGGCGAAGGCGGCCUUCUGGACGAUGACUGACGCUGAGACGCGAAAGCGUGGGGAGCAAACAGG
rnacentral:rRNA from 1 species